rfam:Sodalis glossinidius str. 'morsitans' DNA, complete genome.
GCAAGGGUGACUGAGCGUGGGGAGGAAGUGUGGAGCGAAAUGCGAGCCGAUGAACAAGAAUCGGAUAGAAGGCGCUGGCGAGCAGGGUGAGCGGGCGAGAAACCGUGAAACUCUUGUGGUCAAGGCGAGGUGGCGUAGUUCCGGCGGUUGUGCAGUGAAGGAGUGCGUUC